rnacentral:rRNA from 1 species
GACCUCGGAUCAGGUAGGGAUACCCGCUGAACUUAAGCAUAUCAAAG